rnacentral:rRNA from 1 species
GGGUGAGUAACACGUAGGUGACCUACCAUUUAGAGGGGAAUAACCAGAAGAAAUUUUGGCUAAUGCCGCAUACGAAGUACAAAUCUAAAAGUAGUACUUGAAAGGAUGCCUCUGUAUAUGCAUUCACUAAAUGAUGGGCCUGCGGUACAUUAGCUAGUUGGUGGGGUAAAGGCCUACCAAGGCAACGAUGUAUAUCCGGUCUGAGAGGAUGAUCGGACACACUGGAACUGAGACACGGUCCAGACUCCUACGGGAGGCAGCAGUGGGGAAUAUUGCGCAAUGGGGGAAACCCUGACGCAGCAACGCCGCGUGAGUGAGGAAGGACUUCGGUCUGUAAAGCUCUGUUAAUGUGGAAAAAGGGUUAGUGGUCUAAUAGGCCGUUAAUUUGAUGGUACACAUAGAGGAAGCACCGGCUAACUUCGUGCCAGCAGCCGCGGUAAUACGAAGGGUGCAAGCGUUGUUCGGAUUUAUUGGGCGUAAAGCGCGCGUAGGCGGACCUUUAAGUCAGAUGUGAAAUCUCGGGGCUCAACCUCGAAACUGCGUCUGAAACUGGAGGUCUAGAAUCUUGGAGAGGGAAGGGGAAUUUCACAUGUAGGGGUAAAAUCCGUAGAUAUGUGAAGGAACACCAGGGGCGAAGGCGCCUUCCUGGACAAGUAUUGACGCUGAGGCGCGAAAGCGUGGGGAUCAAACAGGAUUAGAUACCCUGGUAGUCCACGCUGUAAACGAUGAAUACUAGAUAUUGGAGGAUUUGACCCCUUCAGUGUCGUAGCUAACGCGUUAAGUAUUCCGCCUGGGAAGUACGGUCGCAAGACUAAAACUCAAAGGAAUUGACGGGGGCCCGCACAAGCGGUGGAUUAUGUGGUUUAAUUCGAAGCAACGCGCAGAACCUUACCUAGGCUUGAAAUCCCACGAACCCGGCCCAAAAGCUGGGGUGCUCUUCGGAGAAUGUGGUGACAGGCGCUGCAUGGCUGUCGUCAGCUCGUGUCGUGAGAUGUUUGGGUUAAGUCUCGCAACGAGCGCAACCCCUAU